UCAAAGACAUCUUUCCUAGGCCUGCAAU
rnacentral:piRNA from 1 species